rnacentral:rRNA from 1 species
CAAUAGCGUAUAUUAACGUUGUUGCAGUUAAAAAGCUCGUAGUUGGAUUUCUGGAGGGAGCGUCGGCCCGUAUUUACGAGUGCGUGACGUCUCUGUCCAUCCUUGCGGGAAGGCACGGCAUUGAUUUGUUGUGUCGGAUCGCAUCAUUUACUGUGAAAAAAUUAGAGUGUUCAAAGCAGGCUUUCGCUUGAAUACAUUAGCAUGGAAUAAUAAGAUAGGACUUUGGUGCUAUUUUGUUGGUUGAGCCUAAAGUAAUGAUUUAUAGGGAUAGUUGGGGGCACCUGUAUUGCGUUGUCAGAGGUGAAAUUCUUGGAUUUACGCAAGACAAACAGCUGCGAAAGCGUCUGCCAAGGAUGUUUUCAUUAA